AAAUUAAGGAAAAAAAAUUUUCGGUGGAAAAAAAAUUUUCGGUGAAAAAAAUUUUUACGUCGUUUGUGUUUAGUUUGUGGGAAAAAAAAUAUAGUUUUUCAUUACAGUUGUUUGAUUAAAAGAAAAAGAAAAGUAGAUAAAAAACUAUUUAAUAUAUUUUUUAUUAUAUAUAUUAUUAAUAUAUUAUAAUUAUUAUAUAUAUUUUCUCUAAUUAUAUAUAUAUUAUAUAUUAUUAAUAUAUAAUAAUUAUCAUAAUAUAUUUAAUUAUUAUAAUUUAUAUUUAUAAAUAAAAUAUAUUAUAUAAUAAAUAUGUAAUAUAAUAUAUAAUAAUAUAUAUUUAAUACUAUAAAAUAAAUUUUAUGUAUUUA
rnacentral:lncRNA from 1 species